rnacentral:rRNA from 1 species
AUUGAACGCUGGCGGCAGGCCUAACACAUGCAAGUCGAGCGGAGCGGCGGAAGGGUGAGUAAUGCCUAGGAAUCGGACUGGUCGCGGGGGAUAACGUCAGGAACCGGGAGCUAAUACCGCAUACUAUCAGAUGAGCCUAGGGCGGAUUAGCUAGUGGGUGGGGUAAAGGCCUACCAAGGCGACGAUCCGGAACUGGUCUGAGAGGAUGAUCAGUCACACUGGGACUGAGACACGGUCCAGACUCCUACGGGAGGCAGCAGUGGGGAAGAUUGGACAAUGGGCGAAAGCCUGAUCCAGCCAUGCCGCGUGUGUGAAGAAGGUCUUCGGAUUGUAAAGCACUUUAAGUUGGGAGGCGUUACCAACAGAAUAAGCACCGGCUAACUUCGUGCCAGCAGCCGCGGUAAUAC